rnacentral:misc_RNA from 1 species
GUUGUAUUUAAUGCUACCAGUUAUUCUGUGACACUAUACUUAAUAAUGCCACCCAAGUGAAAACUUACAGAGAAGGUUUAUGUUCAAAAGAUUUUGUUGGAUAAACUGGACUCACAGUACAUAACAGAUUCGUAGUUUGGACUAUUAUUAUUUGGGGAAGGAAAAAAAGCGAUGGUGAUGAUCAUUGUCAAGCUGAAACCUUGGUAAUAUAUUUAAUUUAUGUAGACAUUCAAGAGGUUUAUGUUUGUUGAAUAAAAUA